CGCUCACUCCCGCUACUAUCUCUCCAGCGGCAUCGCCUCAGCUGGCAAGCUCUCUCUCUCUCUCUCUCUCUAAAACCCUCUCCGUCUCUCUCUGGGAUUGACGAAGAUGAAGUCUAUGCCACACAACAAUUUCUCAUGGACACAAUGGAGCCUCCCCAGUCGCCAAACCUAGCCCCGGCAAGCCUCCAAGGAGAAAAGCGCCUGCACCUUCAGAUCUAACUAUACGGCCUUGGAUUCGAAGCCUUCGCCGGCAACUAAGUUGAAGAGUCUGUUGCCGCCACAGCCGCCGCCGUCAAAUCCUCUCAAACAGAAGCUUGGGAAAGAUUGGGUAUUCACAUUUUUUCAACCUUUCAAGAGAGACAACUCUCAGGCCAAGCGGUCUAGCAUUUUCGAACUCUUGCGCCGGUAACUGAUCGCAUUUCGUCUCUCGAAUCG
rnacentral:lncRNA from 1 species